ensembl:snRNA U2 U2 spliceosomal RNA
AUCGCUUCUCGGCCUUUUGGCUAAGAUCAAGUGUAAGUAUCUGUUCUUAUCAGUUUUUAAUACCUGAUACGUCCUCCAUUCGAGGACUUUAUAUUAAACGGAUUUUUAGAGCGAGGAGCUGGAAGAGGGGGCUUGCUCCGUCCGCUCCACCAAUCGACCUGGUAUUGCAGUACCUCCAGGAACGGUGCACCUUUU